rnacentral:rRNA from 1 species
CGGGUGAGUAACGCGUGAGGAACCUGCCUCAAAGAGGGGGACAACAGUUGGAAACGACUGCUAAUACCGCAUAAGCCCACGGCUCGGCAUCGAGCAGAGGGAAAAGGAGCAAUCCGCUUUGAGAUGGCCUCGCGUCCGAUUAGCUAGUUGGUGAGGUAACGGCCCAUCAAGGCGACGAUCGGUAGCCGGACUGGGAGGUUGAACGGCCACAUUGGGACUGAGACACGGCCCAG